CUUUUGCACGGAGGGAUUUUGCGGGAAUUUCACGGGAAUUGAGUUGAUUCCUGAAAUUCCUGUAAAAUUCUUGUGUUCCAAAGGA
rnacentral:pre_miRNA from 1 species